UACAGAGGUCUCAAGCGUUGUUCGGAUUCAUUGGGCGUAAAGGGUGCGUAGGCGGCGCGGUAAGUCGGGUGUGAAAUUUCGGAGCUUAACUCCGAAACUGCAUUCGAUACUGCGGUGCUUGAGGACUGGAGAGGAGACUGGAAUUCAUGGUGUAGCAGUGAAAUGCGUAGAGAUCAUGAGGAAGACCAGUGGCGAAGGCGGGUCUCUGGGCAGUAACUGACGCUGAGGAGCGAAAGCGUGGGGAGCGAACAGG
rnacentral:rRNA from 1 species